GACGAACGCUGGCGGCGUGCUUAACACAUGCAAGUCGAACGGAAAGGCCCUGCUUUUGUGGGGUGCUCGAGUGGCGAACGGGUGAGUAACACGUGAGUAACCUGCCCUUGACUUUGGGAUAACUUCAGGAAACUGGGGCUAAUACCGGAUAGGAGCUCCUGCUGCAUGGUGGGGGUUGGAAAGUUUCGGCGGUUGGGGAUGGACUCGCGGCUUAUCAGCUUGUUGGUGAGGUAGUGGCUUACCAAGGCUUUGACGGGUAGCCGGCCUGAGAGGGUGACCGGCCACAUUGGGACUGAGAUACGGCCCAGACUCCUACGGGAGGCAGCAGUGGGGAAUAUUGCACAAUGGGCGGAAGCCUGAUGCAGCAACGCCGCGUGCGGGAUGACGGCCUUCGGGUUGUAAACCGCUUUCGCCUGUGACGAAGCGUGAGUGACGGUAAUGGGUAAAGAGGCACCGGCUAACUACGUG
rnacentral:rRNA from 1 species